UAAUUGAAGAGUUUGAUCAUGGCUCAGAUUGAACGCUGGCGGCAGGCCUAACACAUGCAAGUCGAGCGGUAACAGGGGAAGCUUGCUUCCC
rnacentral:rRNA from 1 species